UACAUCUGCCCAUUCCUCUCUCUCCCUUCGCCAUUCCUCUGCCCUGUCUCCUUGCAAACUGGGGAAAUUUGUGAGACAACUGUAAUAGCACCAGCUUCCUGGCUGGUCUCACCUCAUCUUCCUAGAGGAAAGUAAGCAGACCUGAUCCGAUGUCUGGAGGAAGAAACAUGGACUGAACUGGAGAACUCUGUGGGAGAACUGUGCACCAGGCAGCCCUGAGGCAGACUCUUUGGCAGAAGCACCACAUCCCAUGGCACUGCUGUAUGACAUUCAUCCUUUGUUGAUGGGGAGUGCACUGGCCCUUAACUGCAGUCUUGCUCAUCUGUUUUUUAUCAAGUACAACUACUAUUUCGGAUCGGAAGACAACGUGUUCUACGCACAAGGAUCUUGUCUGCUUCAGAGCACAGCGCUUCCCAAGCGGAUGCCACUCUGGCUCCUAGCCCUGUCUUCCAGAGUCAAGCAAUAAAUUCCAUUCCUUCUACACAGUACAGCAAAGGCCAUAUGAGUCAUCAAUGGGUGUAAGGACAGUGAUAAAUAUUCCUUUAAAAUGGUUUCUGCUUGACUGUUCCUUCUUUAAGAGCCCUUUUGGGAAGAUCUAAUCAGGUCCCUGGAAAGAAGUGCUGCCUGGGGCCCUGACAGGCUGGAUAAUGCUUUCUGCUGUGAAGAUAUGAAAAGACCCUUCUCCAGCAUCUGCGACAUUACCAAGAGGGCCACUUUCUGUGGAGAAUAGCUGAAUUUUGGCUACUGUUGCAAGACUCAAUUUACUGGACCAUGGACCCAACCUAAGAUGGCCAAACUUGUCAUAGCAUGGAGACACUCCUAAUGAGGUCAGAGUCUGAAAAGACAAAUUCCAAAGCACAAAGAGAAAAGGAUGUUUUCUUUUCCGCUGGACAAAACACAACUUUUCUGGCAGGCACAAGCAGGACAGUCUGUCCACUUUGGCAAUACCCUGCACGCCUGGACUUACACAAGUGUGUUUUUACAUGCAACCCAGUUUGAUUACACAAUCUCUUUCCAAGGGAAUUUGGCAAGAAGUGAUAUCUGAGACUUUAAAAACUGAGAGCACUCUGCAGCACGUGGCUUCUCUCACACUGUUUCUAGCACCAUUUGGAGCAGCUGACCACUGGGAAGACACCCAAAGAAACCCACCCCGACUGUUGAUCAGGUACUCAGCCUGCCAUUUUGGAGACACAGUUGCAGGUUCAGCCUCAGUUUCCAGCUUGUACCUGCCAAACUUUACCAACAGCUAAUGAUCAGAACACUGAACUAGCCCCUAGGCUAAAUCUUUUCAUCUUUUUCUUCCCCUCCUCAAGAAUGAUUCUGAACUUUUGCCAAAAGCAUCUGGUAAGAGAUUAACAUAUUAAAGGCGUUUUCUGACCAACAAUCUUUUUACACCUUGGCUUCUUCAGAAGUUGGAUCUGCUCUUUCAGUAUUCAUCCCUUCCUGAAAACACUGUUUAACAUCCAUCUGGGGAGACAGUAUCUAAUGCUCCUAGACUCAAACUUUGAGAAAUGCAUCAUAACUUGUCUUAGGAUCCUCAUGUUUGUUCAGGUUGCAGGUAUCCUACCCUGUAUGACCAUGAUAUUAUUUUAUUUCCAUUUGCUGUUUGCAGAGAAACAUACAUGCCUUGUGCUUACUGAAAUGUACUUGCAGUUAGUGCUAGUAGCAGGCAACCUCAAAGACGAAAACAAGUUUAUUCUAGUGAAGGUCAUGAUUAGUAUUGAUUAUGAAGUUUGCAACACAGUUAGCAAACACAAACACAAGAAAAUGCAGACCUAAAGCAUGUGUGGCACAAGUCUUUUACUCUAAAUGUUAAUAAUCCUCCAAGGCAUUCCUUGCCUGUGGGUCUGCAAGCCCACC